GGGAGAUUGGUAUCUUUUUGGCGACUAAUUCGAUGGCUAUUCCAGAUUGUUUCUUUGAAGAUAUCAAGCUGCUUUUGUAAUAUUCGAAUUAAAAGAAAUGCCAGUAGUGAUCUAAAUAAUUAAAGUAUUCCAAUCAAUUCUUAAUUCUAUUGUUUAAUUAUAGUUCAUUGGUUCAUUUACCUGUCAGUUUCGUUAUCCGGUUCAUAAUGCUGAUUGUCUUUCAGCCACCCUAGGAUUUCUUUGAAGUAUUUCUCCAAACGUUCGUGAAUUUAUUUCCACCAGCGUUCAAUCUAACAUAUAUAGAAUAUAUGAGUACAAUCUAUCACGAAAACUUCAUAAGUAUACAGAAUACGGAUGUUGGAAAUGAUAUUCUAGAUCUUGAAAGUUUGUUAUGUGGCUGAUUUCUUAUGAAAUCUUGGCCAACUUUACAGUAAUAUGUGUCAUUGUAUCAACUAACCUGGUUGGAUGUUGAUGGGCAAUACAGAAUAGUAUCACAUGGGUCUCCAUCAUAACUACUGGCGCAAAAAGGCAUGAAUUGUCCCUGUUUCCGUACCUUUGUCAAGUCGAAGAUAAGAUAGUCUCAAAGAUAUGUUGCAAAUACUGAUAUCCAAUCAAAUUAGGAUCCGAGUUGCUGACCCAAAUACACAACCAAAGAAUUUUGCGACUGGCAGAAUCUAAACAACCAUACACAGCCAAUGGGUACGUGCUGUUUUGGUAACCCAUCAGCUUGUCAUGGUCGUCUAGUGAAUGAACCCAGUUCGUUCCCUUAGUUGAAUAUGUCCCCUUCCUUUUCUUUUUUCCAGUUCCAACGCAUCUUUCUUCUAAGCCCUCAGGAUCAACCUCUUGCAUUACAGCAUGGACUAAAUCACGAGGUACAUUUAGCUCGUGCUCUUGGUGCAGCUUCUGAUGCAUUGCUCUAUAGCCAAGCAAUUUGCCUGGACCACUGACCUCCUUUUCCACGGCAUUAAUCACUUGAUUAAUCACUUGAUCCUUGUCCGUAUAAUAAAUGUCGAAAUGCCUCAUUCUUCGGUCGAGCGAUCGAAGGCUCCAUGCAUACUGUGAAUAAUCUCUUUCGACGAAAUCUAAUACCUCCUUUCGUCUAAGACCUUGGUGAACGUAUUUUUCUAAAUCAUCUUUUAAAUCUUUGUCAUUUUCCCAAUCAUCAUUUCGCAUGAACGCCAUGUUUCAAACGGCCAGUUUUAUACCUAAUGUAACACCGAUUAAAAUGUGUGAACAUUCCUUGUUCUCGCAAAGAAUUUUGGUAUACUGUGGCAACGCUAGGCUCGCUAAAAUUUUUCAUACAUUCAUUAUUAGUGUAAUGUUUUUUCAUUUCAUUUUAAAAUGAUUUUGUUUUAUUUUUUUUUUCAAUUUAAAAUACUUUUUUUAUUAGUUUUUUUAUAAAUUUUCUAUGGCAACGCUAGGCCACCAUAUUGAUG